rnacentral:rRNA from 1 species
AGGCCUACCAUGCAGUCGACGCUGGAUCUCUCAGAGUGGGAGACGGGUGAGUAACGUCCGGGAACCUUCCCAGUGCUACGGAAUAGCUCAGGGAAACUUGAGGUAAUACCGUAUAAGCCCCUAGGGGGAAAGAUUUAUCGCCAUUGGAUGGCCCCGCGUCGGAUUAGCUAGUUGGUGAGGUAAUGGCUCACCAAGGCGACGAUCCGUAGCUGGGUUGAGAGAAUGACCAGCCACACUGGGAC